rnacentral:rRNA from 1 species
CAUCUUUUCUUGUUAUUUAUUUGAGAUUUGACCUGCCCAAUGAUAUUUUAAUGGCCGCGGUAUUUUGACCGUGCAAAGGUAGCAUAAUCAUUAGUCAUUUAAUUGUUGACUUGUAUGAAUGGUUGGACGAAGUAUUAACUGUCUUAUUUAUAUCUUUUAGAAUUUAAAUUUUGAGUUAAAAUGCUUAAAUUUUUUUAUAGGACGAGAAGACCCUGUAGAUCUUUAUUUAUUAAAUUUAUAUUAUAUUUUGGCUUAUUUAUUUAAUAUAUUUUAUUAUUUUUUGUUGGGGNGACAAGGAGAUAAAAUUAACUCUUUAUUUUUAUAUUCAUUAAUUUAUGAUUUUUUGACCUUUUAUUAAUGUUAUAAGAUAUAGAUACCUCAGGGAUAACAGCGUAAUUCUUUUUGAGAGUUCAUAUCGACAAAGGAGAUUGCGACCUCGAUGUUGGAUUAAGAUUAUAGAUAGGUGUAGAAGCUUAUUAAUUAAGUCUGUUCGACUUUUAAAAUCUUACAUGAUCUG